UACGUAGGGUCCGAGCGUUGUCCGGAAUUACUGGGCGUAAAGAGCUCGUAGGUGGUUUGUCGCGUUGUUCGUGAAAACUCACAGCUCAACUGUGGGCGUGCGGGCGAUACGGGCAGACUAGAGUACUGCAGGGGAGAGUGGAAUUCCCGGUGUAGCGGUGAAAUGCGUAGAUAUCUGGAGGAAUACCGGUGGCGAAGGCGGC
rnacentral:rRNA from 1 species